AAUAGAUACCCGGGUAGUCCACGCCGUAAACGAUGAGUGCUAAGUGUUAGGGGGUUUCCGCCCCUUAGUGCUGCAGCUAACGCAUUAAGCACUCCGCCUGGGGAGUACGGUCGCAAGACUGAAACUCAAAGGAAUUGACGGGGGCCCGCACAAGCGGUGGAGCAUGUGGUUUAAUUCGAAGCAACGCGAAGAACCUUACCAGGCCUUGACAUCCCGCUGACCGACCUAGAGAUAGGCUUUUCCCUUUGGGGACAGCGGUGACAGGUGGUGCAUGGUUGUCGUCAGCUCGUGUCGUGAGAUGUUGGGUUAAGUCCCGCAACGAGCGCAACCCUUGAUCUUAGUUGCCAGCAUUCAGUUGGGCACUCUAAGGUGACUGCCGGUGAUAAACCGGAGGAAGGUGGGGAUGACGUCAAAUCAUCAUGCCCCUUAUGACCUGGGCUACACACGUGCUACAAUGGACGGUACAGAGGGUCGCAACCCCGCGAGGGUGAGCUAAUCCCAUAAAACCGUUCUCAGUUCGGAUUGUAGGCUGCAACUCGCCUA
rnacentral:rRNA from 1 species